rnacentral:rRNA from 1 species
UAGCACGGGGAAACUCGUAUUAAUACCGCAUACGACCUACGGGAGAAAGGGGGCAGUUUACUGCUCUCGCUAUUAGAUGAGCCUAAGUCGGAUUAGCUAGAUGGUGGGGUAAAGGCCUACCAUGGCGACGAUCUGUAGCUGGUCUGAGAGGAUGAUCAGCCACACCGGGACUGAGACACGGCCCGGACUCCUACGGGAGGCAGCAGUGGGGAAUAUUGGACAAUGGGGGAAACCCUGAUCCAGCCAUGCCGCGUGUGUGAAGAAGGCCUUUUGGUUGUAAAGCACUUUAAGCAGUGAAGAAGACUCCAUGGUUAAUACCCAUGGACGAUGACAUUAGCUGCAGAAUAAGCACCGGCUAACUCUGUGCCAGCAGCCGCGGUAAUACAGAGGGUGCAAGCGUUAAUCGGAAUUACUGGGCGUAAAGGGAGCGUAGGUGGCUCGAUAAGUCAGAUGUGAAAUCCCCGGGCUCAACCUGGGAACUGCAUCUGAUACUGUUGAGCUAGAGUAUGUGAGAGGAAGGUAGAAUUCCAGGUGUAGCGGUGAAAUGCGUAGAGAUCUGGAGGAAUACCGAUGGCGAAGGCAGCCUUCUGGCAUAAUACUGACACUGAGGCUCGAAAGCGUGGGUAGCAAACAGGAUUAGAUACCCUGGUAGUCCACGCCGUAAACGAUGUCUACUAGUCGUUGGGUCCCUUGAGGACUUAGUGACGCAGCUAACGCAAUAAGUAGACCGCCUGGGGAGUACGGCCGCAAGGUUAAAACUCAAAUGAAUUGACGGGGGCCCGCACAAGCGGUGGAGCAUGUGGUUU